rnacentral:rRNA from 1 species
GAUGAACGCUGGCGGCGGGCCUAAUACAUGCAAGUCGAGCGACCACGCGGGGAGAUCGUGCUUUUGCCGUUAGCGGCGGACGGGCGAGUAAGACAUGGAUAACCAACCUCUUAGUCUGGGAGAACUUCGGGAAACAAGUGCCGAUAAUGGCUCAUACAUCCUACCGGAUGGUUCAAUAGUGAUUCGCACCUUUCGUGUUUGAUUUAGAUGGAUUCGCGUCGCAUUAGCUAGUUGGUAAGGUAACGGCAUACCAAGGCGACGAUGCGUAGCCGACCUGAGAGGAUGAUCAGCCACACUGGAACUGAGACACGGUCCAGACUCCUACGGGAGGCAGCAGUGGGGAAUCUUCCACAAUGGGCGCAAGCCUGACCGAGCCACGCCGCGUGGGUGAUGAAGGUCUUCGGGUCGUAAAGCUCUGUUGUUGGGAAAGAACAGAAGUGUAUGUAACUAUGCACGUUUUGACGGUACCUAAUCAAUAAGCCACGGCUAACUUCGUG